rnacentral:lncRNA from 1 species
UGGGCACAAGCUCUGGAGGAGGUGCCACAGAGAAAGUGGCACCAGUGUCAGGGUCGAGAUCAGUGCCAGGACAAAGGUGGCUGCAUCGGGAUGAAGGUAGAUUUCAGUGGAGGGGUUGAGAUGGAGGUACGGAGGGAGGAUAGAGCUCCAGGGAGGGGUUGUGAUGGAGUUGGAGGCAAAGGAGGGAGAGACAACUAGAAGGUGGUGAUAACAAUUGUGAUGACAUUGAUUUAGGAAAGUGUGAAAUGGGCUGACAAAAUUUGGUAAGCCGAGAGUAGGGGCUUGCCGACUAUGGUUUUUUGGCCACUUGGCAAAGAGCUUCGUUGAGUGAAAAAUAUUGGCACUCAACAUCGAAGAGACUUUCAACCUCUAGCUAUGAGAGCAAU